AUCUAGGUGAAGAGUCCCAAAUAGGACGAAACACGCGUCAAACUGCAU
rfam:Schistosoma margrebowiei strain Zambia genome assembly, scaffold: SMRZ_contig0000036